AUACUUCCUUGGCAUGGGAGAUACCGUGAUCAUGAAGGUAGUUCUUCGCUUAGCCAUUGCACUGCGGGCGUAUUGACCCCUGAAAACUCCCCAAAUGUGGGAGUCUGGAAUGCGUCAUUUCUGGUAGUUGGAGGCUGGGUGCCCAUGUGCCAG
rnacentral:snRNA from 1 species